AGAGUUUGAUCAUGGCUCAGAUUGAACGCUGGCGGCAUGCCUUACACAUGCAAGUCGAACGGUAACAGGUCUUCGGAUGCUGACGAGUGGCGAACGGGUGAGUAAUACAUCGGAACGUGCCCGAUCGUGGGGGAUAACGCAGCGAAAAGCUGUGCUAAUACCGCAUACGAUCUACGGAUGAAAGCGGGGGAUCGCAAGACCUCGCGCGGACGGAGCGGCCGAUGGCAGAUUAGGUAGUUGGUGGGAUAAAAGCUUACCAAGCCGACGAUCUGUAGCUGGUCCUGAGAGGACGACCAGCCACACUGGGACUGAGACACGGCCCCAGACUCCUACGGGGAGGCAGCAGUGGGGAAUUUUGGACAAUGGGCGCAAGCCUGAUCCAGCCAUGCCGCGUGCAGGAUGAAGGCCUUCGGGUUGUAAACUGCUUUUGUACGGAACGAAAAAGUUCUCUCUAAUACAGGGGGCGAAUGACGGUACCGUAAGAAUAAGCACCGGCUAACUACGUG
rnacentral:rRNA from 1 species